GGUUGCUCUUAGCCAAACUCAGAAGAGGAAUAGGCAGCUCAUGGGCCCCUGAAGAGCUCUGCAGAGAUGGAGGAUUCCUUAUCCAGGGAAACUCAGGACUCUGGGACAAGAUAAAGGAGAAUGACAACUAGCAAGGCAAGUGGCCCUUCCCCUGCUGUUCAGGGAAGACUUAAAGGUAUUUUUUAACAGCUGGAAGUCACCUGAUUGAACUGAUUUUCUUACUGUAUUGAGAAUUUUAUCAUGUAAGAUUUACAACUUAAAUUUAUAUUAUUGAGAGAAGAAAAAGAGGAGAAAAAAGAAAUCACAUGUCCAAAUUGCAAAUUCCUGGCAAUUUGCCUGGAGGAAGAGGGAAGGCACAGAGGUGUCCAGCUGCAGCUGCUGUGGCCUGAAUGAGGACUCUGCAUCUCAUUCAACACUGGCUGAGAUGAAAUAGAAACUUCCAUUCACCUUAUCAUGGAAUCAAUCUGGAUCCUUUGUGAAAGGACCAAUGCGAAGGAAAACCAGAAAACAGAAGGCCACAGUGGCUGGCACUGGAACUAAGGAACCUUGAGAUGUGUCGUCUCAGCCUGUGAUGACUACAGAAAGCCUCGCUGAAUUUUUCUGUGGAACUAAAUUAAAUGAAUCUGAAUUUGCAGUGAUGUUGCAGCUCAUUCCUCCUAUCGUUUGUCAGCAUUUGGUGACUGUUGGAAAGGGGCUCAGAGGAAUUCCUGGCAGUCCCAUGGAGUGCUGCAGGGAGAGAGUGCUGCUGUUUGCAAGCCAUGGCUACUGGGAGAGGCAGAGAGCAACACACCUUCCACCUGCCACCUCCCUGUGGAGCAGCUCUGGGCCUUGGAGCAUUGGUCUUGCAGGACCUUCUUUUCAGAAAAAGCAUAUUUCCCCCUAAGAGACCAGUUUGCUUGGUGGGAUUGAAAUAAUUGUUUAGGGAAGUUUAUAUUCCACGGAGGGCUGCCUCAUUUAAAAGUC